rnacentral:rRNA from 1 species
UACGUAGGUGGCAAGCGUUAUCCGGAUUUACUGGGUGUAAAGGGCGUGUAGGUGGGGACGCAAGUCAGAUGUGAAAACCACGGGCUCAACCUGUGGCCUGCAUUUGAAACUGUGUUUCUUGAGUACUGGAGAGGCAGACGGAAUUCCUAGUGUAGCGGUGAAAUGCGUAGAUAUUAGGAGGAACACCAGUGGCGAAGGCGGUCUGCUGGACAGCAACUGACGCUGAGGCGCGAAAGCGUGGGGAGCAAACAGG